rnacentral:rRNA from 1 species
CCUACGGGGGGCAGCAGUGGGGAAUAUUGCACAAUGGGGGAAACCCUGAUGCAGCGACGCCGCGUGAGUGAAGAAGGAUUUCGGUACGGAAAGCUCUAUCAGCAGGGAAGAAAAACCGGCCUUAGGGCCGCCAGACGGUACCUGACUAAGAAGCCCCGGCUAACUACGUGCCAGCAGCCGCGGUAAUACGUAGGGGGCAAGCGUUAUCCGGAUUUACUGGGUGUAAAGGGAGCGUAGACGGCAGCGCAAGGCCGGAGUGAAAUGCCGGGGCCCAACCCCGGAACUGCUUUGGAAACUGUGCAGCUGGAGUGCAGGAGAGGUAAGCGGAAUUCCUGGUGUAGCGGUGAAAUGCAUAGAUAUCAGGAGGAACACCGGUGGCGAAGGCGGCAUGCUGGACUGCAACUGACGUUGAGGCCCGAAAGCGUGGGGAGCAAACAGGAUUAGAUACCCCUGUAGUC